GAUGAACGCUAGCGGCAGGCCUAACACAUGCAAGUCGAGGGGUAGAAGUUUUCGGACUUUGAGACCGGCGCACGGGUGCGUAACGCGUAUGCAAUCUGCCUUACACUAAGGGAUAGCCCAGAGAAAUUUGGAUUAAUACCUUAUAGUAUAUUGAUGUGGCAUCACAUUGUUAUUAAAGAUUUAUUGGCGUAAGAUGAGCAUGCGUCCCAUUAGCUAGUUGGUAUGGUAACGGCAUACCAAGGCUAUGAUGGGUAGGGGUCCUGAGAGGGCGAUCCCCCACACUGGUACUGGGACACGGACCAGACUCCUACGGGAGGCAGCGGUGAGGAAUAUUGGUCAAUGGGCGCAAGCCUGAACCAGCCAUGCCGCGUGCAGGAUGAAGCAUCUAUGGUGUGUAAACUGCUUUUGUACGGGAAGAAACACCUCUACGUGUAGAGGCUUGACGGUACCGUAAGAAUAAGGAUCGGCUAACUCCGUGCCAGCCGCCGCGGUAA
rnacentral:rRNA from 1 species